AACGAACGCUGGCGGCGUGCCUAACACAUGCAAGUCGAGCGAGAAAGGGGGAGCAAUCCCCUGAGUACAGCGGCGCACGGGUGAGUAACGCGUGGGUAAUCUGCCCCCCAGCCCGGGAUAACACCUCGAAAGAGGUGCUAAUACCGGAUGACAUCGGCUUGGCGCAUGCCGGGCCGAUCGAAGGCGGCCUCUGCUUGCAAGCUGUCACUGGGGGAUGAGCCUGCGUCCGAUUAGCUAGUUGGCGGGGUAACGGCCCACCAAGGCGACGAUCGGUAGCCGGCCUGAGAGGGUGAUCGGCCACACUGGGACUGAGACACGGCCCAGACU
rnacentral:rRNA from 1 species